rnacentral:other from 1 species
GGUAAGUAGUUACUGCUUGUCAAUGUAAGUUCAAUAGGGGGCAAGUUUAAAGGGGGCUGCGUGACGCGCGAUGCUUCUUGCUUUAACGGCUCGUGUGAUUAGUUUAUAUUUGAGAGAUAGUUUUUAUGGCAACUGGUACAGUUAAGUGGUUCAACGAUUCCAAGGGUUUCGGCUUCAUUACUCCGGACGACGGCGGUGAAGAUUUGUUUGCACACUUCUCUGCAAUCAACAUGAGCGGCUUCAAGACCCUGAAAGAAGGUCAAAAGGUCAGUUUCGAAGUGACGCAAGGCCCGAAGGGCAAGCAAGCAUCGAACAUUCAAGACGGCAACUGAUUUUUUCAGUACGUCUCUAAAAAAGCCUCGCGAUGCGAGGCUUUUUUUA